rnacentral:rRNA from 1 species
GACGAACGCUGGCGGCGUGCCUAACACAUGCAAGUCUACUUGAACCUACCGCUUGCGGUAGUGGAUGGUGGCGAACGGGUGAGUAACGCGUAGACAACCUACCAUUUAAAGAGGGAUAAUUCACUGAAAAGAGGACUAAUACCUCAUGUGCUCUUAAGUCGGCAUCGAUUUAAGAGGAAAGACUGCGGUCGUUAAAUGAUGGGUCUGCGUAUCAUUAGUUAGUUGGUAAGGUAACGGCUUACCAAGACAUCGAUGAUUAGCUGGUCUGAGAGGAUGAUCAGCCACACUGGGACUGAGAUACGGCCCAG